CAGACCUCUGAUCAGGAAAGACUACCCGCUGA
rnacentral:rRNA from 3 species